GGCCUAAUGUACCUGACUCGAAAUCAGGAGUACAGAAUUAACUGUACCGUGGGUUCGAAUCCCACUCUCUCCG
rnacentral:tRNA from 1 species